rnacentral:rRNA from 1 species
AUGAACGCUGGCUGCGUGCCUAAUACAUGCAAGUCGCGCGAACAGACGAGGAGCUUGCUCCUCUGACGUUAGCGGCGGACGGGUGAGUAACACGUGGAUAACCUACCUAUAAGACUGGGAUAACUUCGGGAAACCGGAGCUAAUACCGGAUAAUAUAUUGAACCGCAUGGUUCAAUAGUGAAAGACGGUUUUGCUGUCACUUAUAGAUGGAUCCGCGCCGCAUUAGCUAGUUGGUAAGGUAACGGCUUACCAAGGCAACGAUGCGUAGCCGACCUGAGAGGGUGAUCGGCCACACUGGAACUGAGACACGGUCCAGACUCCUACGGGAGGCAGCAGUAGGGAAUCUUCCGCAAUGGGCGAAAGCCUGACGGAGCAACGCCGCGUGAGUGAUGAAGGUCUUCGGAUCGUAAAACUCUGUUAUUAGGGAAGAACAAAUGUGUAAGUAACUAUGCACGUCUUGACGGUACCUAAUCAGAAAGCCACGGCUAACUACGUG